rnacentral:rRNA from 1 species
CGGCAGCACGGGAGCAAUCCUGGUGGCGAGUGGCGAACGGGUGAGUAAUAUAUCGGAACGUGCCCAGUCGUGGGGGAUAACGCAGCGAAAGCUGUGCUAAUACCGCAUACGAUCUAUGGAUGAAAGCGGGGGAUCGCAAGACCUCGCGCGAUUGGAGCGGCCGAUAUCAGAUUAGCUAGUUGGUGGGGUAAAGGCCCACCAAGGCGACGAUCUGUAGCUGGUCUGGGAGGACGACCAGCCACACUGGAACUGAGACACGGUCCAGACUCCUACGGGAGGCAGCAGUGGGGAAUUUUGGACAAUGGGCGCAAGCCUGAUCCAGCAAUGCCGCGUGCAGGAUGAAGGCCUUCGGGUUGUAAACUGCUUUUGUACGGAACGAAACGGUCUUUUCUAAUAAAGAGGGCUAAUGACGGUACCGUAAGAAUAAGCACCGGCUAACUACGUGCCAGCAGCCGCGGUAAUACGUAGGGUGCGAGCGUUAAUCGGAAUUACUGGGCGUAAAGCGUGCGCAGGCGGUUAUAUAAGACAGAUGUGAAAUCCCCGGGCUCAACCUGGGACCUGCAUUUGUGACUGUAUAGCUAGAGUACGGUAGAGGGGGAUGGAAUUCCGCGUGUAGCAGUGAAAUGCGUAGAUAUGCGGAGGAACACCGAUGGCGAAGGCAAUCCCCUGGACCUGUACUGACGCUCAUGCACGAAAGCGUGGGGAGCAAACAGGAUUAGAUACCCUGGUAGUCCACGCCCUAAACGAUGUCAACUGGUUGUUGGGUCUUCACUG